rnacentral:rRNA from 1 species
UACGUAGGGGGCAAGCGUUAUCCGGAUUUACUGGGUGUAAAGGGAGCGUAGACGGCGAUGCAAGCCAGGUGUGAAAGCCCGGGGCUCAACCCCGGGACUGCAUUUGGAACUGUGUGGCUGGAGUGUCGGAGAGGCAAGUGGAAUUCCUAGUGUAGCGGUGAAAUGCGUAGAUAUUAGGAGGAACACCAGUGGCGAAGGCGGCUUGCUGGACGAUGACUGACGUUGAGGCUCGAAAGCGUGGGGAGCAAACAGG